GGUCAGAUUUCACACACGGAGCACACGCCCAUUGAGCUUGGCAGAAGGUUAUGAAAGUUCUGCUGAAAUCACAUGUCACUAAAGCGACAGACCUCACCAUAAAUAAUGACGUAGUAUGUACAGAAAAAUGAGGCACCUCAAACCUGUAUGUUUUUUCCACUGUCUCAUUGCUUUUAACUACGUUGCGUUGUUUUUCCACUCGGUAAUCCUGUGUGAAAAUGGCCUGUGUGUUUUCCAUGCAGUGGAUGAAAGUAGUGCUGUGUGCUGCACAGUUUUCAGCCUGAACAUAAAAUGUCACAACUUCAUCUUAUUCAUGAAACAUGAAGAAUAAACAUCAUGCCAACAAGCCCAGUGAGCACACCGCCUUCAUAACUGGAAAUGCUUGAUUAAAGGAUCAUCACUGAACCCACCUACAAAUUAUACAGCUUUCAAACACAAUAUGUCAGUAGAUUAAAUUAAAUGUUUUUUGGUGUCAAA